rnacentral:rRNA from 1 species
ACUAAUCCUAGCCCUAAAUCCAUAAGCCUAAUUAUAUAUUUCAUUUAAAUAAAACAUUUUUUCCCAUAAAAGUAUUGGAGAAAAAAAUUAUACUUAGGAGCCAUAGAGCAAGUACCGCAAGGGAAAGAUGAAAGACCAAUUAAAAGUAAAAACAAGCAAAGAUUAAACCUUGUACCUUUUGCAUAAUGAAUUAACUAGAAAAUACCUAGCUAAGCGAACUAAAGCUAGAAACCCCGAAACCAAACGAGCUACCUAAAAACAAUUAUAAGAACUAACCCGUCUAUGUGGCAAAAUAGUGGGACGAUUUCUAGGUAGAGGUGAUAAGCCUAACGAGCUUGGUGAUAGCUGGUUACCCAAAAAAUGAAUUUUAGUUCAACUUUAAGCUUACUACAAGAGUCAAAAAAAUCCAAAUGUAAACUUAAAAUAUAGCCAAAAGAGGGACAGCUCUUUAGGAAUGGAAAAAACCUUAUAUAGUGAAUAAACAACCAUAAAACAACCAUUGUAGGCUUAAAAGCAGCCAUCAAUAAAGAAAGCGUUCAAGCUCAACAUUCAAAGGCAACUAAUCCAACAUCUUAUUGUAAAUUCCUAUAAUACAUAUUGGGUUAAUCUAUUAUUAUAUAGAUGUAAUACUGUUAAUAUGAGUAACAAGAAUAUAUUUCUCCAAGCACGAGCCUAUAACAACUCGGAUGACCAUUGUUAGUUAAAGGAUCUUAGACUAUAAAUCCAUAAUUAAAUAACCUAAACUUCAACCAUUAACCCAACACAGGAGUGCUUUAAGGAAAGAUUAAAAAGAAUGAAAGGAACUCGGCAAACACGAACCCCGCCUGUUUACCAAAAACAUCACCUCUAGCAUUACAAGUAUUAGAGGCAUUGCCUGCCCAGUGACUAAAGUUAAACGGCCGCGGUAUCCUGACCGUGCAAAGGUAGCAUAAUCACUUGUUCCUUAAUUAGGGACUAGUAUGAAUGGCUAAACGAGGGUUCAACUGUCUCUCAUUCUCAAUCAGUGAAAUUGACCUUCCAGUGAAGAGGCUGGAAUAUAAUAAUAAGACGAGAAGACCCUAUGGAGCUUUAAUUAAUUAGCUUAAUUAUUACAACAACAACCUAAUGGGCUAAAAAUGAAAAUAUAAGCUAAAUAUUUCGGUUGGGGUGACCUCGGAGAACAAAAAAACCUCCGAACGAUUCUAGCAUAAACUUACAAGUUAAAGCAACCAUAAAAUCCUAUUGACCCAAAUUAUUUUGAUCAACGGACCAAGUUACCCUAGGGAUAACAGCGCAAUCCUAUUUAAGAGUUCAUAUCGACAAUCAGGGUUUACGACCUCGAUGUUGGAUCAGGACAUCCCAAUGGUGCAGAAGCUAUUAAUGGUUCGUUUGUUCAACGAUUAAAGUCCUACGUGAUCUGAGUUCAGACCGGAGCAAUCCAGGUCGGUUUCUAUCUAUUCACAAUUUCUCCCAGUACGAAAGGACAAGAGAAAUAGAGCCCCCUUACAAAUAAGCGCUCUUAGCCCAAUUUAUGAAUAUAAUCUUAAUAAAAUACGCAUGUACAUCACCACACCUAGAUAAGGUU